rnacentral:rRNA from 1 species
GACGAACGCUGGCGGCGUGCUUAACACAUGCAAGUCGAACGGAAAGGCCCUGCUUUUGUGGGGUGCUCGAGUGGCGAACGGGUGAGUAACACGUGAGUAACCUGCCCUUGACUUUGGGAUAACUUCAGGAAACUGGGGCUAAUACCGGAUAGUAGCUCCUGCUGCAUGGUGGGGGUGGGAAAGUUUCGGCGGUUGGGGAUGGACUCGCGGCUUAUCAGCUUGUUGGUGGGGUAGUGGCUUACCAAGGGUUUGACGGGUAGCCGGCCUGAGAGGGUGACCGGCCACAUUGGGACUGAGAUACGGCCCAGACUCCUACGGGAGGCAGCAGUGGGGAAUAUUGCACAAUGGGCGGAAGCCUGAUGCAGCAACGCCGCGUGCGGGAUGACGGCCUUCGGGUUGUAAACCGCUUUCGCCUGUGACGAAGCGUGAGUGACGGUAAUGGGUAAAGAAGCACCGGCUAACUACGUG